rnacentral:antisense_RNA from 1 species
GACAUGGUUACGGAGAUCGGGUUCGUGAGCCUG